rnacentral:lncRNA from 1 species
GAUUCUGAUUGACUGAUGGCAGAAGGGGUAUGAAUAUAAAGUGGCAUUAAGGCCUUGCAGACAGACUUAACAAUAACAUGCUGAAGUUGCAAUAACAGUUUGACGAAGACUCACAUGUAAUCCCAUAUUGACGGUUGUAGAACUCGUACCAACAGAUUUCACUUUGGGUAUUUAAUUGUAUUGUAAUUAGUAAGGGACUUAACUUUAACACAUUUCUUUCAAAAUCACCCUUAACUAUUUUUGUUAACAAGUUAUAGUGAAAUCAAGGAUCUUUUAACAGAUUUUUUUUGGACUUUUACAAUGUAAUUUGUAAUCAAAAUUUUGAAGCGUGUAUGGAAAUUAUAAGGAAAAUAAUAAUGUCACACUAACUGUCUCAUUAAAUAUAUUAUUCAACGUACAAUCAGUGCAAUAAGGAAAGAUACGAGAUGAACAUUAUCUACAUAUACCGAUAUAUUAUGUGUAAACAUGGUAAAUAAAAGCAACAGUAGUAUACCGCUGUUCAAACUCAUAAAUCCAUGGACAAAAAACAAAAUCGGGGUAACAAACUAAAACUGAGGGAACGCAUUAAAUAUAAGAGGAGAACAACGAGACAACACUACAAUGUAACACACACAGCAACGGACCAAGCAUCAGACAAAAUCCCACGUGAAUAACAAAUAUAACAUCAAAACCAAAUGCAUGAAUUUGGGAUAGACGAGGACCGUGACACAUCUUAUCGCAAUGUGAAUUUAUACUCAAAAAUAAGAGAAAACAAACGACAAUGCAUGGCCAUAUUCCUGACUUGGUACAGGACAUUUUUAAAGGAAAAAAAUGGUGAGUUGAACCUGGUUUUGUGGCAUGCCAAACCUCCCUCUUUUAUAGCCAUGUGAAAUAUAACAUUAAAAUGAAAUUCAACACCACAGGACUACAAUAUAAAUAAAUUGGAGAACACAAUUGACAAAGAAACACACGAACAACAGUCAACAAAAGGUAGAGGCAGGGGUGUCCUGCUUUCCAUUGCAUAAAGCACCCUAUAUUUUUAGAUUUUAAUCCUGUACAGUGAAUCUUAAAAUACAUAUUUGAUAAGGCCCAGCUAUUUUUACUUUUUAAUUGUGUAUGGUGAAUCUACAAAGUUAUUUUAUAAGUCCCCAAAUAUUUUUAGAUUUUAUCCGUGUACAGUGAAUCUAAAAUAUUUUUAGUUAUUUGUGAAAAACUUUUAGUGACGUACGAUUUAUUAGUUUUAAUUAACUCCCCACUUAGAUAAUAUUUGUUGAGGAGGUGUUCCAUAAUUGAAAGGCAUCAUUAUAUAUGCAGAUUUUACAUCAUUGUGUUCUGUCUCCUACUUUCAUGUUGCUAACGUGACGGAGACAAAAAUGAGUAACGUUAGCGACAUUUGGACAUGUCACAUUAGCAACAACAUCUUUAAAAGUUAAAAUGUAUGCACACAGUGAUGUUUAAUAUUAUAUGCCUGGAGUAAUAAAAUUGAACAGUCUGGUUUAGAAUUUCUAAAUAUACAGAAUGUCAUUUGCAGGUGUACUUCAUAUCAAAUGAAUACACAAGAAACCAAUUGGUAAUAGUAACAUUAGCAACAUCUACUAUCAUGACAUUACGUUUUGUUGCGAACGUCUUUUUGAUGGACGGAAUACAUUUAAGGUCCUCUUGUAACGAUAUUACAUACAACUUACCUUCUUUGCUUCCCCAUCAUGUGAGGGAACUGACUCCGAAAUUGAUUUCUGCAAAGGUUGAUAUCGUAACUCCUAUACAGGAGAGUUACAGAUCUAAAUAUAUAUUGCUCACGUGACACUGAUUUGGACGGAAACGUCGAGCAGUAACGUUCGCAAAAAAUAAAACAGCCAAUGAUAUUGAUUCCUCAAGUCCUUUGACCCCCUUACGUCAUCCAAAUUUAAUAUGAUUGCUAUUUUCAAUUAUUUAUAAAACCCGGGAUAAAAAUAACUACAAUGGGCUGUCUGAGAACCAACAAGAAAAUUGCAAUCGUGACAUACCACAAUGGACGGAAAAGACGUGACGUUAGCAACAAUAUUAUUAAAUUACCUUUUUAUGCCUUUACCAAUAAAAAUCUGCCUUAAAGUUAUGAUUAAAACACAAAAGAAGACUUUUUAUUAAAUCAUAAGUCCAUGUUAUUAGGCUCCACUUAAGAAUAAUACUUCAAAAUUCCACUCCAAAUAAGCUGGAUGUCAGUAAAGUAGGUCAUGAUGUCUAUAUUCCAUAUUCCAAAAAACACGAACACAGAGUAAUUUUUAUUUUUAUUUAUUCAGAAAGACACAUUUUAUUCAAUAACAUACUGCAUUACUUCAUUUCACAGUCUGUUUCACAGUUUCAGCAAUUCCUUUUUUGAUGGAUGCACAAAAAAACAAUACUUCCUUCUUAUUGUAAAAUCUGCCAUACAGAAUGUCAUUUGCAGGUGUACUUCAUAUCAAAUGAAUACACAAGAAACCAAUUCGUAAUAGUAACAUUAGCAACAUCUACUAUCAUGACAUUACUUGAUUCAACGUUUUGUUGCGAACGUCUUUUUGAUGGACGGAAUACAUUUAAGGUCCUCUUUUAACGAUAUUACAUACAACUUACCUUCUUUGCUUCCCCAUCAUGUGAGGGAACUGACUCCGAAUCUAUUUCUGCAAAGGUUGAUAUCAUAACUCCUAUACAGGAGAGUUACAGAUCUAAAUAUAUAUUGCUCACGUGGCACUGAUUUGAUUCCUCAAGUCCUUUGACCCCUUUAGGUCAUCCAAAUUUAAUAUGAUUGCUAUUUUCAAUUAUUUAUAAAACCCGGGAUAAAAAUAACUACGAUAGGCUUUCGCGAACCAACAAGAAAAUUGCGAUGGUGACACACCACAAUAGACGGAAAAGACGUGACCUUCACAAUGAUAUUAUUAAAAUACCUUUUUAGCCGAAAUGGUCAGUUGACCCUUUUAAGAGUUAUUGCCCUUUAUAGUCAAUUUUUAACCAUAUUUCUAAAAUUUUAGUAUUCUUUUAAAAAAAUCUUCUCCUCUGAAACUACUGGGCCAAAUUUAACCAAACUUGGCCACAACCAUCAUUUGGGUAUUUAGUUUUAAAAAUCUGUGGCGUGACCCUGCCAACCAACCAAGAUAGCUGCCAUGACUAAAAAUAGAACAUAGGGGUAAAAUGCAGUUUUUGGCUUAUAACUCAAAAACCAAAGCAUUUAGAGCAAAUCUGGCAUGGGGUAAAAUUGUUAAUUAGGUCAAGAUCUAUCUGCUCUGAAAUUUUCAGAUGAAUCGAACCACCCAUUGUUGGAUUGCUGCCCCUAAAUUGGUAAUUUUAAGGAAGUUUUACUGUUUUUGGCUAUUAUCUUGAAUAUUAUUAUAGAUAGAGAUAAACUGUAAACAGCAAUAAUGUUCAGCAGCGUAAGAUUUACAAAUAAGUCAAAUGACCGAAAUGGUCAGUUAACCCCUUUAAGAGUUAUUGCCCUUUAUAGUCAAUUUUUAACCAUUUUUCGUAAAUCUUAGUUAUCUUUUGCAAAAAUCUUCUCCUCUGAAACUACUGGGCCAAAUUAAUCCAAACUUGGCCACAAUCAUCUUUGGAGUAUAUAGUUUAAAAAAUAUGUGGCGUGACCCUGCCAACCAACCAAGAUGGCCGCCAUGGCUAAAAAUAGAACAUAGGGGUAAAAUGUAGAUUUUGGCAUAUAACUCUAAAACCAAAGUAUUUAGAGCAAAUCUGACAUGGGGGUAAAAUAAUCUAUUAGGUCAAAAUCUAUCUGCCCUGAAAUUUUCAGACAAAUCGGACAAUCCGUUGUUGGGUUGCUGACCCUGAAUUGGUAAUUUUAAGGAAAUUUUGCAGUUUUUGCUUAUUAUCUUGAAUAUCAUUAUAGAUAGAGAAAAACUGUAAACAGCAAUAAUGUUCAGCAAAGUAAGAUCUACACAUAAGUCAACAUGAUCGGAAUUGUCAGUUGACCCAUUAAGGAGUUAUUGCCCUUUAUAGUCAAUUUUUAACCAUAUUUCUAAAAUUUAAGUAUUCUUUUAAAAAAAUCUUCUCCUCUGAAACUACUGGGCCAAAUUUAACCAAACUUGGCCACAACCAUCAUUCAGGUUAAAUUGUAGAUUUAUCAUUAUAGAUAGAGAAAAACUGUAAACAGCAAUAAUGUUCAGCAAAGUAAGAUCUACAAAUAAGUCAACAUGACCAAAAUUGUCAGUGUAUUUCUUAAGGAGUUAUUGCCCUUUAUAGUCAUUUUUUAACAAUUUCAAUAAAUUUUUGUAUAUUUUUAGAAUAUAUUUUCCACUGUAAUUACUGGGCCAAGUUCAUCAUAGAUAGAGAUAAUUGUAGCAAGAAGAAUGUCCAGUAAAGUAAGAUCUACAAACACAUCAUGAUCACCAAAACACAAUAUUGUCAUGAAUUUAUCUGUUUCCAUUGUUUAAUAUGCACAUAGACCAAGGUGAGCGUCACAGGCUCUUGAGAGCCUUUAGUUUAGCCUUCACCAAUAAAAAUCUGCCUUAAAGUUAUGAUUAAAACACAAAAGAAGACUUUUUAUUAAAACAUAAGUCCAUGUUAUUAGGCUCUACUUAUGAAUAAUACUUAAAAAUUCCACUCCAAAUAAGCUAGAUGUCAGUCAAGAAGGCCAUGAUGUCUAUUCCAUGUCCAAUAUUUUGAAAUUGAAAACCCUAUAAUUCUAACAAAAAAACACAAACACAGAGUAAUUUUUAUUUUUAUUUACUCAGAAAGACCUAUUUUAUUCAAUAACAUAAUGCAUUACUUCAUUACACAGUCUGUUUCACAGUUUCAGCAAUUCCUUUUUUGAUUGAUACAAAAAAACAAUACUUCCUUCUUAUUGUAAAAUCUGCCAUGAAUAACGCAUAGCUGAGAGGGUGAUAGAGCAGAUUGUUACCCCGAGAAAACAUUGUCAAAUGAGGCGAAGCCAAGGUUGAUAAUGUUUUUCGAGGUGUACAAAUCUGCUCUAUAACCCUCUCAGCUAUGUGUUAUUUAAUUAAUGAGUCCCCUACCGACGAAGACGAAGGGGACUUUAGGUUUGCACUCUGUCCGUCCGUCCAUCUGUCUGUCUGUCUGUCCUUCUGUCAGUCCGGCAAAUCAGUUUUCCACACUUUUUUUCUUCAUACUUAAACAUGUUAAAGAUAUUGAUUUGAUAUUUGGUAUAUUGUUUUAUCAUGACAAGUUACAGAUCAAGUUCGAAUUUUGUUCCGGUCUGAUAAUUUUGUGCAGAGUUGUGGUCCUUGGACUUGGAAAAUUAACUCAAAUAUUCGGUUUUCCACACUUUUUUCUGUCAUUCUUGAAGAUAUUGAUUUUAUAAUUGAUACAUUGUUUUAUCAUGACAAGUAAUUACAGAUCAAAUUCAAAUUUUAUUCCGGUCUGAUAAUUUUGUGCAGAGUUAUGGUCCUUGGACUUAGAUAAUUCACUCAAAUAAUCUGUUUUCCGCACUUUUAUACGACCUCAAAAAUUGACAAACACAAGGUUUAUGACCACAAAAGGAAGGUCGUCGUCGUCCGAAGACUGUUAGUUUUCGCACUCUAACUUUAGUAUGAGUGAAAAGAAAUCUAUGAAAUUUAAACACAAGGUUUAUGACCACAAAAGGACGGUUGGGAUUGAUUUUUGAAGUUUUGGUCCCAACAGUUUAGAAAUUAGGGGCCAAAAAGGGCCCAACUAAGCAUUUUCUUGGUUUUCGCACUUUAACUUUAGUUCAAGUCAAUAGAAAACUAUGAAAUUUUGACACAAGGUUUAUGACUACAAAAGGAAGGUUGGGAUUGAUUUUGGGAGUUUUGGUUCCAACAGUUUAGGAAUUAGGGGCCAAAAAAUGGCCCAAAUAAGCAUUAUUCUUGGUUUUCGCACAAUAACAUUAGUAUAAGUAUAUAGAAAUCAAUGAAAUUUAAACACAAGGUUUAUGACCACAAAAGAAAGGUUAGGAAUAAUUUUGGAAGUUGAGGUCCCAACAGUUUUGGAAUUAGGGGCCAAAACGGGGCGUAAAGAAGCAUUUUUCUUUGUUUUCGCACCAUAACUUUAGUAUAAGUAAAUAGAAAUCUAUGAAAUUUAAACACAAGGUGUAUGACCAUAAAAGGAAGGUAAGGAUUGAUUUUGGGAGUUUUGGUCCCAACAGUUUAGGAAUAAGGGGCUCAAAGGGUCCAAAACUAAACUUUGUUUGAUUUCAUCAAAAAUUGAAUAAUUAAGGUUCUUUGAUAUGCCAAAUCUAACUGUGUAUAUAUAUUCUUAAUUUUUGGUCCCGUUUUCAAUUUGGUCUACAUUAAGGUCCAAAGGGUCCAAAAUUGUAUUCAGUUUGAUUUUUACAAAAAUUGAAUUCUUGGGCUUCUUUGAUAUGUUAAAUCUAGACAUGUACUUAGAUUUAUGAUUAUGGGCCCAGUUUUCAAGUUGGUCAAAAUCAGGAUCCAAAAUUCUUAUAUUAAAUAUUGUGCAAUAGCAAGAAAUAUUCAAUUACACAGUAUUCAGCAAUAGCAAGAAAUCUUCAAUUGCAUAGUAUUGUGCAAUAGCAAGAAAUCUUCAAUUGCACAGUAUUGUGCAAUAGCAAGAAAUCUUCAAUUGCACAGUAUUGUGCAAUAGCAAGUUUUUCAAUUGCACAGUAUUGCGCAAUAGCAAGAAAUAUCUAAUUGCACAUUAUUGCGCAAUAGCAAGAAAUUUUCAAUUGGAGUUAUCUUUCAUGGUCCAGAAUAGUAGUUGAAUCAACUUAAAUCAUUGUUUUAUACAAUAUACAAUGUAUAUUCACUUUUACUACCAACUGAUAAAUUAAAACAAUCUUUACCAUUCAGUGAUAACAAGCACUUUUUUUUACAUUUUAAUAUUUUAUGAUGUAUUUAAAUGAGUAGUAAUUAGUGCAAACUCCAUUAGAAAUUUGAAUUGAGAUCAGUUUUGGAAUAAGGGAAAGGGGGAUGUGAAAAAAAAAAUUGGGGGGGUCUAUUUUUCUCAUUUCACAUUUCAUAAAUAAAAAGAAUAUUUCUUCAAACAUUUUGUUGAGAGGAUUUAUAUUCAACAGCAUAGUGAAUUGCUCAAAGGCAAAAAAAAAUUUAAGUUCAUUAGACCACAUUCAUUCUGUGUCAGAAACCUAUGCUGUGUCAACUAUUUAAUCACAAUCCAAAUUUAGAGCUGAAUCCAGCUUGAAUGUUGUGUCCAUACUUGCCCCAACCGUUCAGGGUUCAACCUCUGCGGUCGUAUAAAGCUGCGCCCUGCGGAGCAUCUGGUUACAGCAUCUAUUUAAAAAAGAGUAACUUUGUUUGAAAGUUUAUCUAAUUUACUUGUAUACGGUGGAAUGUAAUAAAAGGACAUGGUUAGAGGAUAAUCAAUUUGGAGAAAAUACAGAUUUUAUCAAUUUCAAUAUUUAAUAGUAUUGGGUCAAUCUAGAUAUGACAUCAUGAUAACAACACUAAUUACCUGUUCAACCUCUCCUCAUUCUUUAUGUGCCUGUUCCACGUCGAGAGCUUGUAGUUCAGUGGCUAUCACUAGUUCUUGUCUGUCAUAUUUGUUUUUCGUAAAUAGUUUUGUUAUAAAUUAGGCGCAAGUUUUCUCAAUUGAAUUGUUUCAUAUUUUCAUGUUGAGGCCAUUUAUAGCUGACUUUACGGUAUGGCUUUUUAACCAGAUUUUCAAGUUAAAUCAGUUAUUGAUUUUGGGAUGUAAGGCGGCCGUGCAGGCAGGCGGCUGCCAAUUAGUGUCCAUUCAUUUACAUGAAAACAAAUUUAGAUAUAUGUUGUUUCCUGUGACUAAAUGAAGGUCAAGUUCAAUUUUCAUGAUUUUAGCUUUCUUGAUGUUAAGUUAUGUAUUUGGCAAAACUUUUAGGAAUUUUGGUUCUCAAUGCUCUUCAACUUUGUACUUUAAUUGGCUUUUUUAACUUUUUUGGAUUCGAGCGUCACUGAUGAGUCUUUUGUAGACGAAAUGCGCGUCUGGCGCAUAUACUAAAUUUAGUCCUGGUAUCUAUGAUGAGUUUAUUUAUAACCCUUUCCCAAGAAUUUAAUUUUUGAUGGUUUAAUCCAUUUCUGUACAAAACAUUUUUAAAAGACAUUGUAUCAAUGAUAAAUGACAUUUUAAGUUUUUUUCUUGUUUCUUUGGUAAAAUGUUGGUAAAUUGUUUGAAGAAUUUUCUGAACUUAAGUUGAUAGUUGUCUCAUAUGUAAUCAUAUCUCCUUAUUUUUAUAAAUAUACAAGGAUUUCAUUUUCUUUUACAGGAUAUAAUGGCAAGUUCGGAUGAGGUAAGUUUUUUUUCUUAAAAGUCAUGUGACCUAUGUCAUGUGACCUAUGUUGUCUAUAAACUGUACAGAAAGAUACAGAAGUGCAGUAUUCCUAGGGGGAGAACAGGAGAAAUCAAGAUUACUACAGUGAACAGAAUUUCAAAGGGAAAUAACUCAUUUUUUAAAGCAUUUUUAAAAGACAUUGUAUAAAGGAUAACUGACAUUUACAGUUUUUUUCUUGUUUCUUUGGUCAAAUGUUGGUAAAUUGUUUGAAGAAUUUUCUGAAUUUUAUAUAUAUAAUUUUAUGAAGUGAACUCCUCUAAUUAGAUAAUGAUCUAUUUUUAUUAAAGGAUAUAUUUUAUUACAUUUAAAGUUGUUGGCAUGGAUAGAGAAGUUGCAGAUCUAUAUUAGUUUGUGUCACUUGACAGCCUCUUGUUCUUAUUGUUGAAGGCCGUACCAUCGCCUAUAAUUGCUUACAUCCACUUCAUUUGAACUUAAGUUGAUAGUUGUCUCAUUGGUUAUCAUAUCUCCUUAUUUUUAUAAAUAUACAAUGAUUUCAUUUUCUUUUACAGGAUACAAUGGCAAGUUGGGAUGAGGUAAGUUUUUCUUCUUAAAAGUCAAUGUCAUGUGACCUAUGUCAUGUGACAUAUGUUGUCUAUAAACUGUAUAUUAAGAUACAGGCGUGCAAUAUUCUAAGGGAAAGAACAGGAGAAAUCAAAAUGACUACAGUGAAUUUCAAUAUACAAAAUUCCAGGAGACAAAAAGAAAUGUAAGACAUUGUAGGACAUUCACAACUCUUUUAAGUCGAAAAGAAUCUGACAACGCCAUGGAAAAAAAUUUAAAAACAAUCAAAAUUCAACAGUCUACUACAUGCAUUAGUCAUUUCAGGGCCUUUUAUAGCUGACUAUGCCAUAUGGGCUUUGAUCAUUGUUGAAGGCUGUACAGUGACCUAUGGUUGUUAUUUUCUGUGUCAUUUGGUCUAUUUUGUAGAAUUGUCUCAUUGGCAAUCAUACCACAUCUUCUUUUUAUAUUCAAAACAUUACAUAGAAAACUAAAGACCGAGCAACACAAACCUCAACAAAAACUUAGGCUGAUCUCAAAACUGACUGCAGAAUACAAUUAUGACAAUUGUCUACAGACUUUUCUUAAAAAAAAAACUCUGAAAUUAUAGACAACAAUUUCACUCCUUCUUGGUAAUCACUGUAUUUGGUAUAAACUGUUGAAACUGUAAAAAUGUAGCUUGUUAAAUUCAAUUAUUACAUUUAUAAUACAUUUGUAUGUUCUAGAGGAAAAUGUAAAAGCUUUGUUUUGCUUACAGAAACUUCUUACAGCUGCAAGGAGGGGAAUAUAAAAGAGGUAGAAUUAUGUAUAAAGAACGGAGCUAGUUUGGAAUGUAGAGAUCAUGAU